rnacentral:rRNA from 1 species
AGUGAACGCUGGCGGUAGGCCUAACACAUGCAAGUCGAACGGCAGCACAGUAAGAGCUUGCUCUUACGGGUGGCGAGUGGCGGACGGGUGAGGAAUACAUCGGAAUCUACUUUUUCGUGGGGGAUAACGUAGGGAAACUUACGCUAAUACCGCAUACGACCUACGGGUGAAAGCAGGGGAUCUUCGGACCUUUCGCGAUUGCAUGAGCCGAUGUCGGAUUAGCUAGUUGGCGGGGUAAAGGCCCACCAAGGCGACGAUCCGUAGCCGGUCUGAGAGGAUGAUCAGCCACACUGGAACUGAGACACGGUCCAGACUCCGACGGGAGGCAGCAGUGGGGAAUAUUGGACAAUGGGCGCAAGCCUGAUCCAGCCAUACCGCGUGGGUGAAGAAGGCCUUCGGGUUGUAAAGCCCUUUUGUUGGGAAAGAAAAGCAGCAGGUUAAUACCCCGCUGUUCUGACGGUACCCAAAGAAUAAGCACCGGCUAACUUCGUG